CUCCAAGCCCAGAGGCAGUCACAAAGCACCAGGAUUCUCUUCAUGGUGGACUCUGAAACUGGAAGGAAAAUAAUCUUCAAUGACUCCUGCAUUAAAGCAGUUCAAGUGAUGCGGAGGACCUAGAAGACCCACUGUCCUUCAGUACCACAGCAAAAUCACUAGGUCCAGACUGUUACCACGGCAUCAUCUUUAUUACCUCUUCAGCCUUCAAAGCCCUAUGACCCACUUAUGGUAUGUGCCAGUAUACUACAGUGAUCCCAUAAUCAUCUGGCCAAUGCACAUGUUCGUUGCACUGUACAGUGUCUUACAAAUUCUACAGACUCACUCAGAGAACAACACAGCUGUCUGACCACAAUGCCUCCAGCAUACAGCAUUGCACAAGGAAAGUAUUAUGGGUAACAGUCUAAUGUCUUUCCUUAAAUAUCUUACCAAAUAAACAUCUCUGUAGUAACUCAUGUAACAAAUCAAAAUAAACAGUAUGAAUAAAUGAAGUCUUUCAUUUUCUGCAAUAAGAACAACAUCUUGAUAAAUAGUUAUGAUCCAAAUGCAUAAUCUGUUUCAGGUUAAGAUCACUUUAAUAUUGUUUCGCAUUCACUACUUCAGCUGCCUCUUCCUAUAUGAUACUUAUUAUCAGAAAAGCAAGC